rnacentral:rRNA from 1 species
UAAUACCGGCGGCUCGAGUGGUGGCCGCUUUUACUGGGCUUAAAGGGUCCGUAGCUGGAUCUGUGUGUCCCUUGAGAAAUCCAUCGGCUUAACUGAUGGGCGUUCAGGGGAAACUGCAGUUCUAGGGACCGGGAGAGGUGAGAGGUACUGCCGGGGUAGGAGUGAAAUCCUGUAAUCCCGGUGGGACGACCUAUGGCGAAGGCAUCUCACCAGAACGGCUCCGACAGUGAGGGACGAAAGCUGGGGGAGCAAACCGG